rnacentral:rRNA from 1 species
UCCUACGGGAGGCAGCAGUGAGGAAUAUUGGUCAAUGGUCGGGAGACUGAACCAGCCAAGCCGCGUGAGGGAGGAAGGUACAGAGUAUCGUAAACCUCUUUUGUCAGGGAACAAAGGCGGGGACGUGUCCCCGGAUGAGUGUACCUGAAGAAAAAGCAUCGGCUAACUCCGUGCCAGCAGCCGCGGUAAUACGGAGGAUGCGAGCGUUAUCCGGGUUUAUUGGGUUUAAAGGGUGCGCAGGCGGUCUGUUAAGUCAGCGGUCAAAGCCCGGGGCUCAACCCCGGCCCGCCGUUGAAACUUGCAGU